rnacentral:lncRNA from 1 species
GUCCAGUGUAUGAGGCUGAGAAAGAGCUUGAGAGUGAGGAAGGAAGAGAGGGAAGAAGACAGAGUUCAUAGGAAAGCCAAGAGGAGUCCUCCCGGAACACCUCACAAAUAUCAGCCGCAGGAGGGCCACAGAAGCAAGACCCUCAGUGGAAUUUUCACAACUUGAGAAGGUCGCAGCGGGCACCACAGCCUUCCUUUUCGUUUAUGCCUUCUCCCUCAGGAGAGACUUCUCAGGACAGUCUCCAUGAUUACACCAUGCUUUCAAAUUGUUUCGAGUCACUGAAGAGAAUGCACAUGCCUAGAGACGGCACAAUCAAAUCUGAGUAUUCCCCAAACUAUAAAAGACCAACCACAGAAGCCAGGAAAGUAAGAAAGGACCGUGGAGGGAGGAGCCCUAGAAGAAGGGAAUAGCAGGAUACAAAUGGUAUGAUGCAGUAAAUGGGAAAAAAUAAGGAGGAAUACUUUAAUGGAGGGAGAAGUGUGCAGUACAGAAGGAGGAGGGAGGACAAAGAACAUUCAGAAUGUUUGAAAAGCCUUUAGGAAGCAUUAUUUUGUAUUCACCUCAAACUAUGAACAAUAUAUAGGCAUAUCUAUCUAUCUAUCUAUCUAUAUAUCUCUUAUGUAUUUUUCUAUCUUUUUAUGGAAGCAAGUUAUGCUACUUGGUCUGACAAUAUCCCCCAUCAAAAUCCAUAGACCUUCAAGCAAAAGCCCUAGCAUCAGGCAUGACAGGACCUCCUUUCCAGAUGUUGGUCAGGGUAGUUCAAGGGAACUCACAAAACAAUAUAGGCGACCACUGUUGCUCUCGGUUGCCUCUCAGAGGAUGAAGUAAAGGCCACCAUGCACUUCUAACAUAGGACUCAGAAGAUUCAAACUGGAUCUAACCUGGAAAGCCUCCUCUUGGAGGACCGGAUUUCACACACAGGAAGGUGCUUUGCCAGUUGCCAAAGAAGAAAAGCAAUCAGUUCACCCACCCAGCUGUGAUGUUUAUGAACCACAGUAACAGCCAGUGCAGCAAGAUAUCCCUAAAAGUGCAAUAGUGGCACGCGUAUCGUGGCCAGCGGUAACCAAUAGCUCUCUAAUUGGACUUAAGGGCUGCUCUACGGGAGGGAAAUUAUGUCUGGAUCUGGAAACCUAGUCAGCGACCCACGGCUAUUAAGGUAAUGGAUCUUAGAAGAGAACCCACUAUUGCCGCUUUCCUAGACCAGCCUAACUCCUAAUUGCUUUCUGAAUAUUUAUCCUCACACCUACAGGUAAAUGUAGCUCCCCUUUCUCAUCAGCAGAUGAAGCAACACUGCAGGGAACUACAGCUGGUCAAAGCACACAGAAUAACUGACAAUGGAGCGUCCUGCCUCAGCGGACGUAUCUACAACACAACUCCUGUAGCUAAGGCUCCAGUGGGCAUGACCAAAGAGGGGCCAGAAAGAGGGUGCGGGCCAGAGGACCAAGAAGUCUUCUGUGGUAUUAUGUCUCCAAAAGAAAAUGAUAGGAAAGCUACCCCUGCCCCAUGAGAGUGCAGUGAUUUGGCUGCCAGAGGAAGACCUCAACAAUGCCAGUAGACAUGCUAAGGUAGAAGGAGGGAUUCUCAUGGGGCCCUACCCCAUGACAAGGAACCACACAGACAAUGAAGGAUAAGUGAGAGACAGAGAAUUAGUCUUCCUCAGGGAUAAGCUUCUUAACUGGUUACCCAGUAUCAAGUGGUCAGCCCUGAGGUUAUGUACAUGUAAGCACUAUAUUUUUCUCUCUCUGUGUUUCUGUCUGUCUCUUUCUCUCUACCUCUCUUUCUGUUUCUCUCUGUGUGUCUCUGUCUUUGUCUCUGUCUCUCUCUCUGUUUCUCCAUCUCUCUCUCUCUCUCUCUCUCUCUCUCUCUCUCUCUCUCUCUCUUUCUGUGUGUGUGUACCAAACUGACACAUGCUAGUGUUUUCUGGGAAAAAGAACCUUAGGUGAAGGAAAAAAAAAAAAGGCCUCUAUCCGAUUGUCUGUUGGCAAAUGUAUAAAACCUUUUCUCAGUUGGUGUUUGUUGUGGCAGGGCCAGCCUAUAGCAUUCUGCCUGGGCAGGUCAUCUUGAGUUGUCUAAGAAAGUGAACUGAACAAGCCAUGGGAAGCAAGUCAGGAGCUGCAUACCUCCAUCAUCCCUUCUUCAGUUCCUGCCUCCGGGUUCCUUCACGGUGUUCCUACCCCUGUCUUCUCCCCAUGAAGAAGAUCUGGGAGCUGAAAUAAACCCUUUUCUUCCCCAAGCCGUUUUGGUUGUGGUCUUUAUCACAGUAGAAACCUAACAAGACAAUAUGUAACCCUAACAAUCAAAGAACAAGAAGUCAUGAGUUUGAGAGUAAGGAAGUGAGGGAUGGGAAGCAAGAGUUGAAGGGAGGGAACAGGGGAAGGGUUUGAGGGAUGAAAAGUGAGGGCUUGUAUAUGCUCAGCCCAGGGAGUAGCACUAUUAGAAGGUGUGGCCCUGUUGGAGUGGGUGUGUCACUGUGGGUGUGGCCUUAAGACCCUCAUUCUAGCUGCCUGGAAGCCAGUAUUCUGCUAGCAGCCUUCAGAUGAAGAUGCAGAACUCUCAGCUCCUCCUGGACCAUGCCUGCCUGGACUCUGCCAUGUUCUUGCCUUGAUGGUAGUGGGUUGAACCUCUGAACCUGUAACCCAGCUGCUAUUAAAUGGUGUUCUUUAUAAGAGUUACCUUGGUCAUGGUGUCUGUUCACAGCAGUAAACCCCUAGCUAAAACAAAAAGGAAGAGGGGAAAUUAAGUGAUUGUACUUUAAUUUAAAAAAAUAAAAUGACACAUAAUUUUUCCACUAUAACCAAUCUUUUCAAAGGUGAAAAUUGCUGGAAGAACCUAUCUUGGCUCCUCUGAACUAUUUCCUCUAAUUCCCAGAUCCUUGGAAAUCCUGUUCAGCAUUGACUUAUACACAGAAGAGAAAGAGAUAUCCUUCUAUUCCUCUACUAAUUCUUUUCAUGUCCUUUAAUCAAUUCAUUUGUCUCAAUAAUAAUUUCCUAAGUCAGUUUUGCACCACCAUGGUUCUAGGCACUAAAGAGGUAAAAGAUGAAAAAUACAAUUAUUGCUCUCUAGAAGGUAAUACCCAAUAUCCAGCGUCCACGGGAAAAGCCAAGGGGACUUGGCCAAGCACCCACAGUCUUCUAACUCCAAGCACACAUGGUACCCUAAGUGCUCAUAUGUCUUGUCUAAUAUCACAUGAUGACCUUGGACACUCCUGUCUUCAUUCAGAGGCUCGGGGACAUUACAUACUUGUCCAGGCCCUGCCAUCCAUGUGUCAUGACCUGGGGAUCCAAGCGAGAUUUUAUGUCCGUCUUAAUUUUUCUAUGUCGUGCUUUCCCAUCCUCCAGUACUGCUCUGUAUCCCAUAAUUCAAUCCUGGAACUCUAUUUCCCUCUCCCCUCUUAAGUCUAAAGCUGAUAAUGCUGAGGGGGCUGGAGGAACACGUGUUCUAAGAGCCUCGGUCCCAACAGUGUGGGAAUUUUCACUCUACUGUUUUUUUUUUCAGGAUCUGAGUUCAUUUCGAGCUGACUUUCUAUUUCCACAGAAACAAAAGUUUAAUGGUGGCAAACACCCACACAAUGUGAUUUUCAACAAAAAAUAUUUUUACAAAAGAGAGUCCGAUGAUGUACAAAGAACAUGUUGUGCAGGAAGUAACUCGUGCAUAACACUCAGACAUUUGAGGGAGCCAGCGAUUGGGAUGUAGGUGUUUAGAACUAGUCUGACAAUAUGCUAUUCACUUUGUUGUUGUUGUUGUUGUUCUUGUUUUUUGGUUUUUCGAGACAAGGUUUCUUUGUGUAGCCCUGGCUGUCCUGGAACUCACUUUGUAGACCAGGCUGGCCUUGAACUCAGAAAUCCACCUGCCUCUGCCUCCCCAGUGCUGGGAUUAAAGGCGUGUGCCACCACUGCCCCGCUGCUAUUGACUUUCAAGUGUGUCUGGAUUUGCUUAGCAUUAGAAAGAGCAUCUAUCUAAGCCCAGUUUAACUUAUAUACUUUGUCGUAUUAAAGGACUUAAAGUCAUACCUUAGACUUCAGGUUAAAAUCUAGUGGAGUAUCAUCUAGAGUUUAUAAAGCACUAUUUGAUUUGAGUGGAUGUCUCCACUCACGUGAGUAAGCACAAGCCUAUCGUUUAUUAUUUUAUUGCCUAGGAGCAAUGGUAUGAGUCACAUGCUGGGCUACUCAUGUGUAACGUAUUAGUGAGAGAGCAUUUGUCUUUAUUUACAGUUCCUGCCUUAGGACCAUUGGUCAGCCUCUUUGGGACCAGCCUGCAGCUGACCCAUAGCCCUGAUGCCCCAUUGAUGGAAAGUGACAAGGCUGUAGGAUGAAGGCUGUGCUUAUGUAAGAAGGGGCCUGAUGACAUCACAUCCACUUCUUGAUUUAGAAGGCUCAGGAGCUCACGGAACAGCACAGUGCCCUAACCUACUGCAUGCAGACGGACACACUGCAGGGAUUGCUGGUUUUAGGCUGGAUUUCAAGGUGAACCAGGUUAGAAGAUUCAAGGAGAGACUUGGGAAGUUAUUGAUUUUUUCUGCUUCCUACAUUGGUUGAUUAGCCCCAUACGUGGUGUUUGAUUAAUGUCUGAGAGCUCUAAUUAGCAAUGUCUAAUCGGCUCCACAUACUCUUGGGCUAUUGAUUCCUGCCUCCAGAGAACUAAUCCAAUUGCACUCCUUACCAUUAGUAAGCUCCUGCUGUGCUGGGGUGACCGCCUGCAUGUUGGAAAGUUUACCCUAUGAAGGGCUUUGAGAUGGGGCAGAGGGGCUAGACGUUAGUUGGACAAAUGCUGGCUUUUAUCUCUGUGGUGCUGCUUCCCCCCAGCCCCCAAAUUGAUGAGUUUCCUUGCCAAGGUUUUCAGAAGAAGGGAAGAGUGUAUCUUGUGAACCACAUGGACAAAGUAGAAACCCAAAGCCUAAUGGCUUCUCUUACUUAGUUGACCAGUGCCUAUUUUCCUGCCACACUCAAAUGAUGGCAUUUCUACUAUAAUAAUACGGACAUUUUCCUUGGCUCCAUUUAUGGCUUUCUUCCCAAUUUAUUUG